GCACUGGUGGUUCAGUGGUAGAAUUCUCACCUUCCAUGGAGACCCCAGGUUCAAUUCCUGGCCAGUGCA
rnacentral:tRNA from 1 species